rnacentral:lncRNA from 1 species
AUGGCCCAUGAGAUGGAUUUGAUGGUGGCGACUCACAUUAGCGAAAGGAGAGCAGGGGACUGGGAAAUCCCCCCGCAACCUGGACGGCUUUUCUCUCUCCUGCCCUCCUCCUCGGGUCCGCUUUGUCGAUCAAGAUGGGAGAGCUUUGCAAAAACCAAGCUCUCGAGGGAACCGUGUCAAUUCGACUUGGAAAUUAUUCUAAAAGGACAGGAAUCAGCAAAAGCCAUUUACUCUGAUGUGUUUGGGAUGAUCGAGCCAGGAAGGCUGAUCGAGAUUUGAGUCAGACGCAGCCGGGUCCUCCGCGGACCUCCCAAAACGCAGCCUGUCAUUUAUGCCUAAAUGUACCUAGGGAUCUUGGAUUUCUGACCCCCGAGAACUCGGGAUGUCCCGUGCACGGGAAAACGUGCCCAUUAUGCAAAACUUCCCUCGGGCUUCUCCUCCCAGAGAUGCCCUGUCUCUUCCCAGUUAGCGAGAAAAUGGCGGAGAGAGUCUUCUUCCAAGUGGGAGAAGCUCCCUCUGCAGAAAGCCCAGCGUUUGGCCAUGUCAUCGGCCCCUGGCGGGGAGCACACGGGGUGGCCUCCCUGCGGCCCAGACCCCGCGCCGGCACGCUGGUCGGUUCCCGUGGGGCUGCAAAAUGGCCCUUCCUGUGAAAUGACUUGGUUACGUUUUGCCAAGUGCUGACCAGCCCUGAAAGCAGCAGGACGCGUGGUUUUAGUGUGCUUUGAACCUCUCAAGAAGAUUCCUAACAUUUCAUACUGUUAAUACUUUGGAAAUUUAUUAUUGUUGAAAGCAUAUAUUACUAUUUUCACAUCCUUUCAAUAAACUCUUUUCUUAAGAAACAAAAUGGGUUUUCCGACAGUUUUUGUUGUUCCUCUAUGUGGCCACUAACUUUCUGGGUGCAAGGACGCCCACGGGCCCGUGACCUUGGGCACUGACUGCUCGGUUCUCGGACACUGGGGAGCGGGGCAGAAAGCCGAGACACGGGAUGCUUCUGCGACGACAGGUAGACCUUUGAAAAGGAAGUUCUAGACUUGCAG